rnacentral:rRNA from 1 species
GGGUUGUGAGGUUAAGCGACUAAGCGUACACGGUGGAUGCCCUGGCAGUCAGAGGCGAUGAAGGACGUGCUAAUCUGCGAAAAGCGUCGGUAAGGUGAUAUGAACCGUUAUAGCCGGCGAUGUCCGAAUGGGGAAACCCAGUGCAAUUCGUUGCACUAUCGUUAACUGAAUACAUAGGUUAACGAGGCGAACCGGGGGAACUGAAACAUCUAAGUACCCCGAGGAAAAGAAAUCAACCGAGAUUCCCCCAGUAGCGGCGAGCGAACGGGGAGCAGCCCGGAGUCUGAAUCAGCUUGUGUGUUAGUGGAAGCGUCUGGAAAGUCGCAGGGUACAGGGUGAUACUCCCGUACACUAAAACACACAGGCUGUGAACUCGAAGAGUAGGGCGGGACACGUGGUAUCCUGUCUGAAUAUGGGGGGACCAUCCUCCAAGGCUAAAUACUCCUGACUGACCGAUAGUGAACCAGUACCGUGAGGGAAAGGCGAAAAGAACCCCGGCGAGGGGAGUGAAAAAGAACCUGAAACCGUGUACGUACAAGCAGUAGGAGCCCACUAGUUGGGUGACUGCGUACCUUUUGUAUAAUGGGUCAGCGACUUAUAUUCUGUAGCAAGGUUAACCGUAUAGGGGAGCCGCAGGGAAACCGAGUCUUAACUGGGCGUUAAGUUGCAGGGUAUAGACCCGAAACCCGGUGAUCUAGCCAUGGGCAGGUUGAAGGUUGGGUAACACUAACUGGAGGACCGAACCGACUAAUGUUGAAAAAUUAGCGGAUGACUUGUGGCUGGGGGUGAAAGGCCAAUCAAACCGGGAGAUAGCUGGUUCUCCCCGAAAGCUAUUUAGGUAGCGCCUCGUGAAUUCAUCUUCGGGGGUAGAGCACUGUUUCGGCUAGGGGGUCAUCCCGACUUACCAACCCGAUGCAAACUACGAAUACCGAAGAAUGUUAUCACGGGAGACACACGGCGGGUGCUAACGUCCGUCGUGAAGAGGGAAACAACCCAGACCGCCAGCUAAGGUCCCAAAGUCAUGGUUAAGUGGGAAACGAUGUGGGAAGGCCCAGACAGCCAGGAUGUUGGCUUAGAAGCAGCCAUCAUUUAAAGAAAGCGUAAUAGCUCACUGGUCGAGUCGGCCUGCGCGGAAGAUGUAACGGGGCUAAACCAUGCACCGAAGCUGCGGCAGCGACACUAUGUGUUGUUGGGUAGGGGAGCGUUCUGUAAGCCGUUGAAGGUGGCCUGUGAGGGUUGCUGGAGGUAUCAGAAGUGCGAAUGCUGACAUAAGUAACGAUAAUGCGGGUGAAAAACCCGCACGCCGGAAGACCAAGGGUUCCUGUCCAACGUUAAUCGGGGCAGGGUGAGUCGACCCCUAAGGCGAGGCCGAAAGGCGUAGUCGAUGGGAAACAGGUUAAUAUUCCUGUACUUGGUGUUACUGCGAAGGGGGGACGGAGAAGGCUAUGUUGGCCGGGCGACGGUUGUCCCGGUUUAAGCAUGUAGGCGGAUGUUCCAGGUAAAUCCGGAACGUUACUAACGCUGAGGUGUGAUGACGAGGCACUACGGUGCUGAAGUGACAAAUGCCCUGCUUCCAGGAAAAGCCUCUAAGCAUCAGGUAACAUCAAAUCGUACCCCAAACCGACACAGGUGGUCAGGUAGAGAAUACCAAGGCGCUUGAGAGAACUCGGGUGAAGGAACUAGGCAAAAUGGUGUCGUAACUUCGGGAGAAGGCACGCUGAUGGUAGGUGAAGUGACUUGCUCAUGGAGCUGAAAUCAGUCGAAGAUACCAGCUGGCUGCAACUGUUUAUUAAAAACACAGCACUGUGCAAACACGAAAGUGGACGUAUACGGUGUGACGCCUGCCCGGUGCCGGAAGGUUAAUUGAUGGGGUUAUCCUCACGGAGAAGCUCUUGAUCGAAGCCCCGGUAAACGGCGGCCGUAACUAUAACGGUCCUAAGGUAGCGAAAUUCCUUGUCGGGUAAGUUCCGACCUGCACGAAUGGCGUAAUGAUGGCCAGGCUGUCUCCACCCGAGACUCAGUGAAAUUGAACUCGCUGUGAAGAUGCAGUGUACCCGCGGCAAGACGGAAAGACCCCGUGAACCUUUACUAUAGCUUGACACUGAACACUGGUCCUUGAUGUGUAGGAUAGGUGGGAGGCUUUGAAGUGUGGACGCCAGUCUGCAUGGAGCCAUCCUUGAAAUACCACCCUUUAAUGGCUGGUGUUCUAACGUGGGCCCCUAAUCGGGGUUGCGGACAGUGUCUGGUGGGUAGUUUGACUGGGGCGGUCUCCUCCUAAAGAGUAACGGAGGAGCACGAAGGUCAGCUAAUCCUGGUCGGACAUCAGGAGGUUAGUGCAAUGGCAUAAGCUGGCUUGACUGCGAGCGUGACGGCGCGAGCAGGUGCGAAAGCAGGUCAUAGUGAUCCGGUGGUUCUGAAUGGAAGGGCCAUCGCUCAACGGAUAAAAGGUACUCCGGGGAUAACAGGCUGAUACCGCCCAAGAGUUCAUAUCGACGGCGGUGUUUGGCACCUCGAUGUCGGCUCAUCACAUCCUGGGGCUGAAGUAGGUCCCAAGGGUAUGGCUGUUCGCCAUUUAAAGUGGUACGCGAGCUGGGUUUAGAACGUCGUGAGACAGUUCGGUCCCUAUCUGCCGUGGGCGCUGGAGAAUUGAGGGGGGCUGCUCCUAGUACGAGAGGACCGGAGUGGACGCAUCACUGGUGUUCGGGUUGUCAUGCCAAUGGCAUUGCCCGGUAGCUAAAUGCGGAAGAGAUAAGUGCUGAAAGCAUCUAAGCACGAAACUUGCCCCGAGAUGAGUUCUCCCUGACUCCUUGAGAGUCCUGAAGGAACGUUGAAGACGACGACGUUGAUAGGCCGGGUGUGUAAGCGCAGCGAUGCGUUGAGCUAACCGGUACUAAUGAACCGUGAGGCUUAACCUUACAACGCCGAAG